GAUGAACGCUGGCGGCGUGCCUAAUACAUGCAAGUCGAGCGAACGGACGAGAAGCUUGCUUCUCUGAUGUUAGCGGCGGACGGGUGAGUAACACGUGGAUAACCUACCUAUAAGACUGGGAUAAAUUCGGGAAACCGGAGCUAAUACCGGAUAAUAUUUUGAACCGCAUGGUUCAAAAGUGAAAGACGGUCUUGCUGUCACUUAUAGAUGGAUCCGCGCUGCAUUAGCUAGUUGGUAAGGUAACGGCUUACCAAGGCAACGAUGCAUAGCCGACCUGAGAGGGUGAUCGGCCACACUGGAACUGAGACACGGUCCAGACUCCUACGGGAGGCAGCAGUAGGGAAUCUUCCGCAAUGGGCGAAAGCCUGACGGAGCAACGCCGCGUGAGUGAUGAAGGUCUUCGGAUCGUAAAACUAUGUUAUUAGGGAAGAACAUAUGUGUAAGUAACUGUGCACAUCUUGACGGUACCUAAUCAGAAAGCCACGGCUAACUACGUG
rnacentral:rRNA from 1 species